GACGAACGCUGGCGGCGUGCUUAACACAUGCAAGUCGAACGGAAAGGCCCUGCUUUUGUGGGGUGCUCGAGUGGCGAACGGGUGAGUAACACGUGAGUAACCUGCCCUUGACUUUGGGAUAACUUCAGGAAACUGGGGCUAAUACCGGAUAGGAGCUCCUGCUGCAUGGUGGGGGUUGGAAAGUUUCGGCGGUUGGGGAUGGACUCGCGGCUUAUCAGCUUGUUGGUGGGGUAGUGGCUUACCAAGGCUUUGACGGGUAGCCGGCCUGAGAGGGUGACCGGGCACAUUGGGACUGAGAUACGACCCAGACUCCAACGGGAGGCAGCAGUGGGGAAUAUGGCACAAUGGGCGGAAGCCUGAUGCAGCAACGCCGCGUGCGGGAUGACGGCCUUCGGGUUGUAAACCGCUUUCGCCUGUGACGAAGCGUGAGUGACGGUAAUGGGUAAAGAAGCACCGGCUAACUACGUG
rnacentral:rRNA from 1 species